ensembl:lncRNA
GGCCGUAUUGCUCCGCUGCGGACGUAACAGCAGUCAGGCGGCUGCAGGAUGCUGCCCUGAGGCGCGUUGAGCGGCUUCCAUAUCAAUGCACUGUUUUCUGGGGCCGGAAAGCGGGACAAACUGCGCUGCGAACAUCACUCGCCAUAAUCUUGGAGAAACCUUACUUAGAGAGAGAUAAAAUAUGGCGGUGGAAGGGUAAGGAGCGGGAUGCUCUGAAGACCUGCUCUCUAGGCCACGCACGGAGGACGUCUGUUCCUCGAGGGCCGUGUGCCCGCCUAGGGGAAAGUCCCCGGACCGCGGGCAGAGAGUGCCGCGCGCCGCCGGCGCCCGCUCCGCCCCGCAGCCCACGCACGCCGCUGAGACGCUCCCGGGCCGAGCGGGUGAGCGCGGGGCGGGCAUUCGUCACGGCCACAGACACGCAGGUAGUGCGGAGGCGCGUCCCGCGAGCCGGGGCCGCAGCACCAACAGAACGGGGCUCACUCUCAGGCCAUCCCUUUUUGGCGAGCCCUACCCUUAUUCGCAUACGGCCGCUCCUCCGCGAAGAGCCGACGGCGACAGCCCAGCCGCGCGGGGCUGCUGCUGCUGGAGCUCGGAGCCGCUCCGUGCGCGAACGCCUGUGGCGGCCUCGGGGCCUCCCGCCGCCUGGGAGCAGCGCGUCCUGCCCGCUGCCUCUGGCGGCUCGGGAUAGUCGGGCGUCCUGCUCUCUUUUCUCCUGGAGCGCUCCACGUGAUCGUGUAGAAAAACAUAUUUAAAAUUCUAUUUAUCUCAUCUCUGCGCAUCGUUCAAAAACGCUAUCAGAAAGCCCAACCCCUUGGAAACAAGCGAAGUAGGGCACGGCUCUGUAGAGCUGUUUGUUGCUGAGAAGCUGUAACGAAAUCCCAGCGUCCUCGUUCUGCUUGCUGGAAAGGAUGCCUCCAAAGCUCUGCGAAGCCGGCACCCACAGAGCUAUCAGCCCUCUGCAGCAGGAGGAACCCGCGCAGGCGAGAUGAAGCUGUGCACAGACACGUGGGUACAUUCGGUCUGGGGACCCCAGAGCUGGUGCUCCAGGAUGGCAACAACUGAUGUGGCCAGGACUGAGUCACUGAGUGAGGGUCCAGGCAGGACACUGAUACGGAGCCAGCCCGAGCACAGCACCGUCAGCACCCAACAUUCAGAGCUACGGCCUUUUGGGAGCGAUGGCAGAGGACUUCAGGUGCAUUUGGGACACACACACAGUGAGAAAACCAAGUGUCACGUCAAUAGUGGGCAACGUUUUCAAGGAGAUGGAAGGAUAAUUUGAAAGUGGCAGUUGAUCGUUUCUGAGCCCGGCUGUAUAUUGCCACGGCGCCGGGAGAUGAUAGCAAUUAGGUACUUUCUUCCUUCAGUAGCAUUGCUGCCAAAUGAAUGGACAGCUGUAACAUCAGAAGCUACGCCCUCUGAAGUCUGAGUUACGGCUGGUGGUUAAGCAACAUUAGGCCCAAGCAGGCUGCAGAGCAGCAUGUUGUAAAUGCUGCUGUAAAUUCACACUUGGGCAAAAGAGGCUUUGCUCCUACUAGGAAAGCAGACCUGACGUCUCCCAGUUUUUCCUAAAACCUCUGGCAUUCUAGAUUUUUACUGCAGGUAAACGGUAUGCACAGAGAUGCUGCCCUUAUUUUGACUACAGUCUUCUAACCCACAUCCUUCCCGAGUCUGUAACAAAUGUCACACUCGUAGCUGGUAACUAUAGGCAUCUAAUUACCCCAUUUCAGCAUCCCGAAUGGAAUUGGUUUUGCUGACAUCUGUGACAACAGACCUGCACUCCCCUUAUAGUCAGUGGAGACGUUUUUAGGGCAAGAUGUGUUUACAGUGGAUUGCUCCCACCUUUAUUUCCCCAUGUGGAAAAGAAAACAUCCACAAUAGACAGUAUUACAAGUUCUUUAAGCCAGGCUUUCGUCAGGUGAUUGGUGUCAUUUCAAAUGCAUGAACUCAAUUAUUUUAUGGUUUUAUUCACCAUCUUUUAAAAUGUUUUUCAUAGCAUAGUAGUAAUUAACUAUGGUACUGGGUGAUACAUCAGCUUGGAGUAACUCUGUGUGUUGAGAAAGUCUUGAAUGCAUCUUGGUAAUUAACACUUAAUUAAUUAACAGCCUACAGUCUAAAUGAAACUACCUGAUAAACUACUCAAAC